rnacentral:rRNA from 1 species
CUAAGUUUGAUGGCGACCGGCGCACGGGUGAGUAACACGUAUCCAACCUGCCGAUGACUCGGGGAUAGCCUUUCGAAAGAAAGAUUAAUACCCGAUGGCAUAGUUCUUCCGCAUGGUGGAACUAUUAAAGAAUUUCGGUCAUCGAUGGGGAUGCGUUCCAUUAGAUAGUAGGCGGGGUAACGGCCCACCUAGUCUUCGAUGGAUAGGGGUUCUGAGAGGAAGGUCCCCCACAUCGGAACUGAGACACGGUCCAAACUCCUACGGGAGGCAGCAUG